AACGUCCUAUCGGUCGUGUUUGCCGUGGGUAUAUAAGAACCAUGCAAACUCUUCCCGGAUACUGCCAGGUGAAUCCACGCACAGCUGAAGGAACUACCGACCGAGUUUGCUGACAAACAGGACUACUCACUCAGAUAAGACGAGGAAAAAUGGCCGCCGCGUUGCGUUCUACCCACCCACUCCUUGUGACAGCAGCCCUGAUGGUGAUGAUACAGCUGGCGUUCUCUAUGACUAUCGCCCCUAACGGUACAACAACUCCACCUCCUGUGUCGACUGCUCCUCCAAGUUCAGGACCUUCAGGCGCGCAAAUCGGAGGGAUUAUAGGAGGCAUGAGUGGUGUCAUUGUCGUUAUAA